rnacentral:rRNA from 1 species
UGAAUACGAGACGCUAAGGCGUCGAAGUAGUGUAUGUCAUACUUCCAAGAAAAGCUUGCACUGUCAUAGAUAAAAAACGCCUGUACCAUAACCGACACAGGUGGGUAGAUAGAGUAUACUAAGGGGCGCGAGAUAACUCUCUCUAAGGAACUCGGCAAAAUAACUCCGUAACUUCGGGAGAAGGAGCGCCUUAUUCGUAAGGUUGCAAUAACAAGAUCCAAGCAACUGUUUAUCAAAAACACAGGUCUCCGCUAAGUCGUAAGACGAUGUAUGGGGGCUGACGCCUGCCCAGUGCCAGAAGGUUAAAGAAGUUGGUUAGCAAUUGCGAAGCUGAUAACUGAAGCCCUGGUGAACGGCGGCCGUAACAAUAACGGUCCUAAGGUAGCGAAAUUCCUUGUCGGGUAAGUUCCGACCCGCACGAAAGGCGUAAUGAUUUGGAUACUGUCUCGGAGAGGGGCUCGGUGAAAUAGACUUGUCUGUGAAGAUGCGGACUACCUGCACCAGGACAGAAAGACCCUAUGAAGCUUUACUGUAACUUGAAAUUGAAAUUGGACUUUAUUCGCGCAGUAUAGGUGGGAGGCGUUGAUUAUAAUCUUGUGGGAUUAUUGGAGCCAUCAGUGAGAUACCACUCUUGUAAUGUUAGAUUUCUAACUUUGAAUCAUUAUCUGGUCAAAGAACAGUUUCAGGCGGGCAGUUUGACUGGGGCGGUCGCCUCCUAAACGGUAACGGAGGCGUACAAAGGUUUCCUCUGAACGGUUAGAAAUCGUAUCUAGAGUGUAAAGGCAUAAGGAAGCUUGACUGUGAGACCUACAAGUCGAGCAGGGACGAAAGUCGGUCUUAGUGAUCUGACGGUACUGAGUGGAAAGGCCGUCACUCAACGGAUAAAAGUUACUCUAGGAUAACAGGCUGAUCUCCCCCAAGAGUUCACAUCGACGGGGAGGUUUGGCACCUCGAUGUCGGCUCAUCGCAUCCUGGGGCGGUAGUACGUCCCAAGGGUUGGGCUGUCCGCCCAUGAAAGCGGUACGCGAGCUGGGUUCAGAACGUCGUGAGACAGUUCGGUCCAUAUCCGGUGUAGGCGUUAGAAUAUUGAGAGGAGCCUUCUUUAGUACGAGAGGACCGAGAAGGACAUACCUCUGGUGUACCAGUUAUCGUGCCAACGGUAAACGCUGGGUAGCUAUGUAUGGAGUGGAUAACCGCUGAAAGCAUCUAAGUGGGAAGCCCACCUCAAGAUAAGUAUUCUCA